rnacentral:rRNA from 1 species
CGAACGGGUGGAGUAAUACAUCGGAACGUGUCCGCUCGUGGGGGACAACCAGCCGAAAGGUUGGCUAAUACCGCAUGAGUUCUACGGAAGAAAGAGGGGGACCCGCAAGGGCCUCUCGCGAGCGGAGCGGCCGAUGACUGAUUAGCCGGUUGGUGAGGUAACGGCUCACCAAAGCAACGAUCAGUAGCUGGUCUGAGAGGACGACCAGCCACACUGGGACUGAGACACGGCCCAGACUCCUACGGGAGGCAGCAG